ACGUUUGUUGUUUCUCGGAAGUGACGAAACCAAAGUACUGAUGGCGGCUCACAGUUUGCUCCCCGAUAUGUACUGAAACGAAUUUGAUGGCUUCGUAUUGGACUUUUGGCGUACUUUGCCAUUUGUCAGAGGUCUCGAGAUUAAUAUUGAACCUGUCGAGCACAAGAGUCGUCAAUCCGAGGAGGGAUCAUUUGUUGUAGAGCUGGUUAGAUCCAGAGCUAGCUGCCCUGCCAAUGAAAUCCAAGUCCAGUUAGCCCUUGAUCGCAGAGGUUGGUUUGAGUGCGUGGCUACACGCUUUGAGACGUUUGACAUUUUAGCAGUUUUCUGACACUGGCUGGUUCAAGUGCAGCAGAGUCUCCGGAUUCUGUAGUUUGGCUAGCCUCGCUCGCGUUACUUUAAAAGCAAAGAAGUGGCGGGAAGUGGUUAGCCGAAGUAAUUAGCUGCAGCCGUACUCCCAGCUUCUCUGAAAUCAUUGGUCUCUAGGGGAGAGUGUGAAUCUCUUCUAUGUUUCACCUCUGUGCCGUUCAUCGACUGUCAGCAUGUUGAAAACUCGUCAGUGUUUACUCGGGAUUCGCACCUUCCUCGGAGUGACGUCUAGAAUAUGGGGUUUCAUUUUAUACAUCCUCAGGAAGCAUCUACGAACGAUAAUCCAGUACCAAACAGUGCGUUAUGACACAUUACCUCUCUCCCCUAUUUCCAGAAACAGACUCAAUGCGGUGAAGAGGAAGAUAUUGGUGUUGGAUCUGGAUGAGACUUUGAUUCACUCUCACCAUGAUGGCGUUCUUAGACCUACAGUGAGGCCUGGUACACCGCCAGACUUUAUCCUCAAGGUGGUAAUAGACAAACACCCAGUCAGGUUUUUUGUCCAUAAAAGGCCACACGUUGACUUCUUUUUAGAAGUGGUCAGUCAGUGGUAUGAGCUGGUAGUAUUUACAGCUAGUAUGGAAAUAUAUGGAUCGGCCGUAGCAGAUAAGCUGGAUAACAACCGGGAUAUUCUCAAAAGAAGAUACUACAGACAGCACUGUACUUUGGACUUAGGGAGCUACAUAAAAGAUCUAUCUGUAGUACACCGCGAUCUCUCCAGUAUAGUCAUUCUGGACAACUCGCCCGGAGCUUAUCGAAGUCACCCAGACAAUGCAAUACCUAUAAAGUCGUGGUUUAGUGACCCAAGCGACACAGCACUUCUUAACCUGCUCCCAAUGUUGGAUGCAUUGAGUCAGCGCAGCCCCAGUUGUUGACAGCACGCCUCACCAAACCACACUUACCAAGAAGCACGUUUUUGCAUUCAAAUGCAGGUUUACCUCAGAUGUUCGCUCCGUCCUCAGUCGAAAUCUCCACCAGCAUCGGCUUUGGUGAUCAUAUCUUUCAGGGCCAGUCUCUCUUCUGGUCACCGUCUGGUUUUUACAUGGCUCUGCCCGUAAGUGUUAGCCUCUCCUGUGCUGGAACUGUCCGCCUCUCGUUAUUGUGAGCUCCCAUUAGUCAUAUGGACUCCUCUGAGGAAAUGCUAUGAGGAGACAUGGGAGGAGAGAAAGGGAGAGAACCAUGAUGAAGAAGCUAUUGCAAAUAAACUCAAGACAAAUGGAGAGGCCAGCAUUUUCUUCUUGUAUUUUUUUUCCUUAAAAAUGGAAAUUCUGCCUUCUGUUGGAUUCAACAUGUGCAUGAUAGUGUUUCUGAGUGAAUGGGGAAGAAAGCUGAUUCCAAUUUUACCUUUUUUAUUUUUUUUGGUGCCAAACUGGUUGUAACUACCAGUAACUUCAUAAUCACUUAUUCCCACUUCCUCAAUGACUGUCUUUGUCUUUUUUAGUUUCGUAUGACCUUAGCACAAACGGUCACAUGGUCAUUCUCUAGCUAAGAUUCUAUCUUUCCUCUCUCCUUUUUUUCUGUCUGCCAUCUCAGGUAUCUCAGCCUCUUCUCUACGUUAAGAGCUGAGAGCCGUUAAUACCGUUGUACUAAUAGUAUACUGUGGUAGAGAUAACUAUGAUCAGCAGGAGAGACUACAGUCCAUUAUUACAGCUUAUGGAAUCAUUUUUCUGUAUUUUUUAAAUGGCUCAUAUGAAACCUCUGGUUAAAUCAGAGAGGUUUUCGAAGACACGUUUUUAGAUGCGCUUCGAUAGGAAUACAUCAGCCACUGAGAGUGACACUGAACAACAAAGACUCUGCUAUAACAGAAAAAUAAAAUAGAGCCUUUUGUCAACAACUGAAA